CCUACGGGCGGCAGCAGUGAGGAAUAUUGGUCAAUGGGCGCGAGCCUGAACCAGCCAAGUCGCGUGAGGGAAGACGGUCCUAUGGAUUGUAAACCUCUUUUGUCGGGGAGCAAAAGACGCCACGCGUGGCGUUCCGUGAGUACCCGAAGAAAAAGCAUCGGCUAACUCCGUGCCAGCAGCCGCGGUAAUACGGAGGAUGCGAGCGUUAUCCGGAUUUAUUGGGUUUAAAGGGUGCGCAGGCGGAAGAUCAAGUCAGCGGUAAAAUUGAGAGGCUCAACCUCUUCGAGCCGUUGAAACUGGUUUUCUUGAGUGAGCGAGAAGUAUGCGGAAGGCGUGGUGUAGCGGUGAAAUGCAUAGAUAUCACGCAGAACUCCGAUUGCGAAGGCAGCAUACCGGCGCUCAACUGACGCUCAUGCACGAAAGUGUGGGUAUCGAACAGGAUUAGAUACCCUUGUAGUC
rnacentral:rRNA from 1 species